rnacentral:rRNA from 1 species
AGAGUUUGAUCCUGGCUCAGGAUGAACGCUGGCGGCGUGCCUAAUACAUGCAAGUCGAGCGAACAGAUAAGGAGCUUGCUCCUUUGAAGUUAGCGGCGGACGGGUGAGUAACACGUGGGUAACCUACCUAUAAGACUGGGAUAACUUCGGGAAACCGGAGCUAAUACCGGAUAACAUUUAGAACCGCAUGGUUCUAAAGUGAAAGAUGGUUUUGCUAUCACUUAUAGAUGGACCCGCGCCGUAUUAGCUAGUUGGUAAGGUAACGGCUUACCAAGGCGACGAUACGUAGCCGACCUGAGAGGGUGAUCGGCCACACUGGAACUGAGACACGGUCCAGACUCCUACGGGAGGCAGCAGUAGGGAAUCUUCCGCAAUGGGCGAAAGCCUGACGGAGCAACGCCGCGUGAGUGAUGAAGGGUUUCGGCUCGUAAAACUCUGUUAUUAGGGAAGAACAAAUGUGUAAGUAACUGUGCACAUCUUGACGGUACCUAAUCAGAAAGCCGCGGCUAACUACGUG